GACGAACGCUGGCGGCGUGCCUAAUACAUGCAAGUCGAGCGGAUCUUCAUUAGCUUGCUUUUGAAGAUCAGCGGCGGACGGGUGAGUAACACGUGGGCAACCUGCCUGUAAGACUGGGAUAACUUCGGGAAACCGGAGCUAACACCGGAUAAUCCUUUCCCUCACAUGAGGGGAAGCUGAAAGACGGUUUCGGCUGUCACUUACAGAUGGGCCCGCGGCGCAUUAGCUAGUUGGUGAGGUAACGGCUCACCAAGGCGACGAUGCGUAGCCGACCUGAGAGCGUGAUCGGCCACACUGGGACUGAGACACGGCCCAGACUCCUACGGGAGUCAGCAGUAGGGAAUCUUCCGCAAUGGACGAAAGUCUGACGGAGCAACGCCGCGUGAGCGAUGAAGGCCUUCGGGUCGUAAAGCUCUGUUGUCAGGGAAGAACAAGUACCGGAGUAACUGCCGGUACCUUGACGGUACCUGACCAGAAAGCCACGGCUAAUUACGUGCCAGCCGCCGCUGUAACAC
rnacentral:rRNA from 1 species